UACGGAGGGGGCUAGCGUUGUUCGGAAUUACUGGGCGUAAAGCGCGCGUAGGCGGACCUGCAAGUCGGGGGUGAAAGCCCGAGGCUUAACCUCGGAACUGCCUUCGAUACUGCGGGUCUCGAGUCCGGGAGAGGUGAGUGGAAUUCCUAGUGUAGAGGUGAAAUUCGUAGAUAUUAGGAAGAACACCAGUGGCGAAGGCGGCUCACUGGGCCGAUACUGACGCUGAGGAGCGAAAGCGUGGGGAGCGAACAGG
rnacentral:rRNA from 1 species